UGGGAGACAAGCUCAAGCUCUUUGUGACCUAGAGGACUAACCUUGGACAUCACCAUGAAAUUUAGACUUAACUUGAUUUUCCUUCUGAGUAUUUUCCAAGGUGUCCAGUGUGAUAUACAGCUGGUGGAGUCUGGGGGAGAUGUGAUACAGCCUGGGGGGUCUCUUCGUCUCUCUUGCAAAGGUUCUGGAUUUACUUUCAGCAGCUACUACAUGGGUUGGGUCCGCCAGGCUCCAGGGAAGGGACUGGAAUGGGUUGCAAGCAUUAGUAGUGGUGGUGGUGGUAGUACAUACUACGCGGACUCUGUGAAAGGUCGUUUCACCAUCUCCAGAGAUAAUGGCAACAGCAUGCUAUAUCUACAGAUGAAUUCCCUCAAUACUGAGGAUUCAGCUUUGUAUUACUGUGCAAGAGACACAGUGAUGAAAAAAGGUGUAGUUGCUCUUCUCAGGUGUCCUCUCACCCUGGCUUCUGGGCUUCCUGUGCUCAACAGCACUUCCUCCCCAGUAAUGUUGCCUCCACUAGCACCACAAGAGAAAUGUUUAGAAAAGAUUUUUGAUGUGGUCAUCAUGGUCGACCCCUUGAAAAGUGAAGAUUCAGCUUCUCUAACCUUAAUGAAGAGACCAGUGUUGGAUGUCAUGUUUACCAAACUCCAAUUUUCGUCACCAAUUCAGUAUGCAAUAUGUGUGUUCCCAGAUAUAGAUAUUCUGUUACUGACAAAUAUUGAUGAGAUUUAA